GUCCACGCCCUAAACAAUGGAUACUCGACGUUCGGAGGAAUCGACCCCUUUGAGUGUCUAAGUUAACACAUUAAGUAUCCCGCCUGGGAAGUACGAUCGCAAGAUUAAAACUCAAAGAAAUUGACGGGGAUCCACACAAGCGGUGGAGCAUGUGGUUUAAUUCGACGGUAAGCGAAGAACCUUACCAAGGUUUGACAUCCUACUAACGCCCUGGAAACAGGGAAGUGCCCGAAAGGGAAAGUAGUGACAGAUGUUGCAUGGUUGUCGU
rnacentral:rRNA from 1 species